AUAAAGACCAUGACUGAGCAAUCUUCUAUUAAAUAAAUGAUUAAAAGUAAAAUUGUGAGAAGUCCAAAUUCAAAGGGAAAUCAUAUUGCUAAAACUUUGAUUAUUAUUAUUUUAUUGCAGUGGGGCACAUUGUGUGAACAGGACUUAACUACAAUCAUUUGUUUUCCUUAUUUAGUUUUUAGCAUUAAGGGAUGCAGCCCUUGAAGAUGUAUUGGAUAGUCUAGUAUCAUAUCUUCUUUUUAUGCUUGGGUUUGAUUUAUAUUGCUAAUGAAACAGGCAUAUGGAUUUAGAGGCAACGUCAUUCGGCACAGAGCAUUAGGGGAUGCAGCCCGUGAAGAUGCCAUAGACGGGUUGUCAUCUUCAUUGUCUAGGAAGAGAGGUCCUAUGCGAGGUCGAGAAUUAAAUGAGAAGACUUCAUUGAAGAGGGUCAUUACGACUAAUGAAUUUGGGCAACCGAAUGCAGGGGAUAUAAAUCAGGUCACAUUCAAUUCAUGCAUUGGUGUUCUCACCCGCACCCACAUCCCAAUCACCUACAUAGACUUUCACCAGGUGCCUCUGAAGCACCUUCAGAAGGUCAUUGAUAGCUUGGAGUGUAGU